CAACUCUAAUCCGUCUGCAAUUGUAGAAUAAAUUUUUCGCCUUUUACUAAAUAUUUCCGUGGACAGGGAUAGUCUUAGAUUCCUCCACUGUUAUUUUUACCAAAGUAUUUUUUUCUUUU